UACAGAGGGGGCAAGCGUUGUUCGGAAUUACUGGGCGUAAAGGGCGCGUAGGCGGCCUUCUAAGUCGAACGUGAAAUCCCUGGGCUCAACCCAGGAACUGCGUCCGAUACUGGGAGGCUUGAAUCCGGGAGAGGGAUGUGGAACUCCAGGUGUAGCGGUGAAAUGCGUAGAUAUCUGGAGGAACACCGGUGGCGAAGGCGGCAUCCUGGACCGGUAUUGACGCUGAUGCGCGAAAGCCAGGGGAGCAAACAGG
rnacentral:rRNA from 1 species